UUUCCAUAGGUCGCAUUGACUCAUGUCCAAUUUGUGUUAAUGCAGGUCAAAUUCGCCUCCUUAUAAGCUGAUUGUGACAUAUGGGGCGCGCUCUUACAAGAAUUACAAGGCUGAACUGUGCACCGUGUCUUCUUGGAGAUGGGAUAUCCAUGUAGAGAGGCAGACUACUUACAAUCAACUUUUGGGUCUCCUGCAAAAUAAAUAUCCUUGGGGAAAUGAUGAGGGUGUUGUGCUUUCAAGCUGGAAUAGUAGCAGGAAAUAUUUUGUGCUAGUUCGCAACGAUAAAGAUGUGGUGAACAUGUAUGAUGGCAAUGAGGAAGACAAGAUUGUUAAGAUACUUGUCCAGUUCUGCAGGAAUGGCGAGGAGGAGGAGUUUGCUCACAGUUUGCUUCAACCAAUCCCACCUUCUUCUGCGGCAAAGGAAAUGUGCAAGCCCAUAGUGGAUGAUUUAACUCAAAAUUCUCACUAUGAGUAUGAGAUACCCGAGGAGAACUUGACAAGCCAACCGAGAUCUAAAGAGGGCUAUGAAGGCUAUGAAGGAGAGGAUCAUGUAGGAAUAGAUGAGGAGAACCAGUACCUUGAUGGCAGCGAGCGGGAUAAUGGAGGCAAGCAAGCCAAAGAUGCUGAUGAAAAAGCAGUUGAAGAUGUUUUCCAAGAUGUUGAGGAGGAUAACGAUGAGCAGGAAGAGGAUAAUGAUGAGCAUGAAGAGGAUAGUGAUGAGGAGGAAGAAGAUGACGAAGGGCUUGUUAGUGAGGAGGAUAGUGACGGGGGAAUGCUGCUUGAUAUUCCAGUAAUUAGCUAUGACAAGGAUAAUCCACCUAUGACAAAAGGGGCAUUAUUCCCCUCUAUUGAAGAGUUCAGAGUUGCACUUGCUCAGCAUGCUAUUGUCAAUGAGUUCAGUUACAAAACUGAUAAAAGUGAUCAAAAAAGGUUGAGAGUUUCUUGUUCCUACAACCCACCUGAAGGGAAACAACCAUGCAAGUGGAGGGUUAAUGGUUCUAUCUUAUAUGAUGGCAAAACAGUUCAGGUGAAGAAUGAACCCAAGAUACACACAUGUCCUAGCACACAAAGAGAUGGCAAAGUAAAGGUUGCUAAGAGAAAAUGGAUUGCUGCCAAGGUGACUGAUUGGUUGAAGGGUGAUCCAAGUAUGACUAGCAUUGCCUUGCAGAAAAGGUUGUUUGAGAAAUACCAUGUCGAUAUUGAUUAUCAAAGAGUGUUUGCAGGUAGGUGCAUAGCCUUGGAACAGAUAUUUGGGAAGUGGGAAGACAGUUUUGAGUGCAUGUACAAUUGGCAAGCCGAGCUGCUUAGGAAGUGUCCAACAAGUGUUAUAGUGAUAGAUCACAAAGAGAGCAAGGGGCAACAACUUUUCACGAGAGCAUUUGUGUGUUUUAGAGCUUGCAUUGAUGGGUUUCUCUCAAGAUGUAGACCUUACUUGAGCGUUGAUGCCACGGCCUUGAAUGGGAAAUGGAAAGGACAGCUUGCAGUUGCUUGUGGUGUCGAUGGACACAAUUGGUUGUAUCCAGUAGCUUAUGCUGUCUUUGAUUCGGAAACCAAAGAAAAUUGGGACUGGUUUAUGGAGAAUCUCAAAUCAGCUAUUGGCACACCUGAAGGCUUAGUUAUAUGCACAGAUGCGUGCAAAGGGUUGGAAACAGCAGUGCAUACAGUAUUCCCAACUGCUGAACAUAGGGAAUGCUUUAGGCAUAUGUGAACCCUGUUGUUUUGUUGUUGCAUUGUACUAUGUAGACUUGUAAAGGCCUUGCUUUUGGGUAGUCUGUAUGCAUAUGUGAACCUUGUUGUUUAGUUGAUGCAGCUACAUGUUGCUUUUGGGUGGUCAGUAUGCAUAUGUGAACAUUGCUGUGUAGUU
rnacentral:lncRNA from 1 species